GUUUUCAUUUCAUCUCUUGCAGCAGCUUUCACUCCCAUCUCUAGUCGUAAAAGAAAUAUGGAAAGUGAUUCAUUACCAUUGGGUGCUGCUCCUCAAUCUCAGACUCUUGCUUCAGACCAGAAGAAAGAUAUUGCUUAGGAAUAGGCUGAAAGCAAUGAUCCUUCUAGAAGAAACACUCAAACGUGUAAGUUAUGUGGAAGUUAAAGGAUGUCCCAGUGCAACUAAAGACAUUAUUGCCAAGAUUAGAGAUGUAGAAAUAAUAAAAAAGAAGCAAAAAGUUCACAGGGAUCAGAUUGAUUUGAUAUAUGCAACAACUGAUUUCAAUGGAGAAUCUGGAGAUGGUGAAGAUAUUAAGGUAGAAGAGGUUGAAGAGGAUGUCGUUGUUCCGUCUAAAAGAAAAUAUAAAGGUAUAAGUAAUGUAAGGGGUCAUAUUGAAGAAUUCAUAAAAACUGAUUAUUCAAAAGUGUAACAAACAACACUCAAGAGGAAAAAUGCUACUAAAAUGAACUUGAAGGAUAAGGCGUGGGAUAACAUAUCAGCUUGGAUGACCGAAAAUGUUAUACCUUUCAAUAUUGUUUGUUCCCCUAGUUUACAAGUGACGCUCCAUUCUAUUGGAGCUUAUGGAAAAGCUCUGCCGGCGCUGUUAGAGCACUGCUCGGUCGAACUCGC